rnacentral:rRNA from 1 species
UGGGGAAUUUUCCGCAAUGGGCGCAAGCCUGACGGAGCAAUACCGCGUGAGGGAGGAAGGCUCUUGGGUCGUAAACCUCUUUUCUCAGGGAAGAACACAAUGACGGUACCUGAGGAAUCAGCAUCGGCUAACUCCGUGCCAGCAGCCGCGGUAAUACGGAGGAUGCAAGCGUUAUCCGGAAUGAUUGGGCGUAAAGCGUCCGUAGGUGGUUUUGUAAGUCUGUGGUUAAAGCGNGNAGCUCAACUNCAUAAGGGCCAUGGAAACUACAAGACUUGAGUGAAGUAGGGGUAGAGGGAAUUCCCAGUGUAGCGGUGAAAUGCGUAGAGAUUGGGAAGAACACCGGUGGCGAAAGCGCUCUACUGGACUUAUACUGACACUGAGGGACGAAAGCUAGGGGAGCGAAAGGGAUUAGAUACCCCUGUAGUC